rnacentral:rRNA from 1 species
CCUACGGGUGACAGCAGUGAGGAAUAUUGGUCAAUGGGCGUAAGCCUGAACCAGCCAAGUCGCGGGAGGGAUGAAGGUUCUAUGGAUCGUAAACCUCUUUUAUAAGGGAAUAAAGUGUGGGACGUGUCCUGUUUUGUAUGUACCUUAUGAAUAAGGAUCGGCUAACUCCGUGCCAGCAGCCGCGGUAAUACGGAGGAGCCGAGCGUUAUCCGGAUUUAUUGGGUUUAAAGGGUGCGUAGGCGGCCUUUUAAGUCAGCGGUGAAAGUCUGUGGCUCAACCAUAGAAUUGCCGUUGAAACUGGGAGGCUUGAGUAUGUUUGAGGCAGGCGGAAUGCGUGGUGUAGCGGUGAAAUGCUUAGAUAUCACGCAGAACCCCGAUUGCGAAGGCAGCCUGCCAAGCCAUGACUGACGCUGAUGCACGAAAGCGUGGGGAUCAAACAGGAUUAGAUACCCAAGUAGUC